rnacentral:rRNA from 1 species
UACGGAGGGUGCAAGCGUUAUCCGGAUUUAUUGGGUUUAAAGGGUCCGUAGGCGGUUUGGUAAGUCAGUGGUGAAAGCCCAUCGCUCAACGGUGGAACGGCCAUUGAUACUGCCAGACUUGAAUUAUUAGGAAGUAACUAGAAUAUGUAGUGUAGCGGUGAAAUGCUUAGAGAUUACAUGGAAUACCAAUUGCGAAGGCAGGUUACUACUAAUGGAUUGACGCUGAUGGACGAAAGCGUGGGUAGCGAACAGG